rnacentral:rRNA from 1 species
UACAGAGGUCUCAAGCGUUGUUCGGAUUCAUUGGGCGUAAAGGGUGCGUAGGCGGCGAGGCAAGUCUGGUGUGAAAUCCCGGGGCUCAACCCCGGAACUGCACUGGAUACUGCUUUGCUAGAGUACUGGAGAGGGAACUGGAAUUUACGGUGUAGCAGUGAAAUGCGUAGAUAUCGUAAGGAAGACCAGCGGCGAAGGCGAGUUCCUGGACAGUUACUGACGCUGAGGCACGAAGGCCAGGGGAGCAAACAGG